AACGAACGCUGGCGGCAGGCCUAACACAUGCAAGUCGAACGCCCCGCAAGGGGAGUGGCAGACGGGUGAGUAACGCGUGGGAACCUACCUAGAGGUGCGGAAUAGCCCAGGGAAACUUGGAGUAAUACCGCAUAAGCCCGCAAGGGGAAAGAUUUAUCGCCUUUAGAUGGGCCCGCGUCUGAUUAGCUAGUUGGUGAGGUAAUGGCUCACCAAGGCGACGAUCAGUAGCUGGUUUGAGAGAAUGACCAGCCACACUGGGACUGAGACACGGCCCAGACUCCUACGGGAGGCAGCAGUGGGGAAUCUUGGACAAUGGGGGCAACCCUGAUCCAGCCAUGCCGCGUGAGUGACGAAGGCCAUAGGGUUGUAAAGCUCUUUU
rnacentral:rRNA from 1 species